UAAAUUACCAUACGGACUUCUAGCCUCCCCUAACGAGAUGACAACGAGGCUCAUUUCCGAUGCGGAAUCGCCAUUGUGGCAUAAGAAAAGAGGAGAGAUUUCCAAGGUCAAAGAGGUGCUUUUCAUAAUCAAGAAAGCUUUUCAUAAAGACCAUAUAAAGGUUUGCACUCUUCCAAAACACUCGGCAUGCCUAUGUACUAUCAAUCUCGAGACUCCGACACCAUCCGCAAACUGAGCGCGGAGGUUGAACGCUUGCGGAUUCACUGCAAUCAGCCCCGUCUAAAACUGUCACAGACAAUACGAGAAAUGAUCCAGUAUUGCGAGCAGAAUAUGGCCUAUGACCAUCUAAUCCACCCUGAUAAGGAAAACCCCUUUAAGCCCAAAAAAAUGUGCACAAUUCUCUGAAAUUCAGCUUUUUUUGUUCAGUCUGAAAUAAAGGUUUUGAAAUAAAUAUAUGUAGAUGGAGGAGUUAGAUAUGAUACCCAAAGAGAAAUAGUACAAACAAAAAUCACAAAAUGAGGGGUGGUGAUGAAACACCAAUUUAGUUGCAGCCCUUGUUAAUAAAUGGAAAUGUAGGAAUGGUUUUUAUAGAAGGCUUGAUAUCAGACCUGCACGGCUAAUUUUUGUAUAUGUGUGCACAAUUCUAGGAACUGGAUUCAGUUACGAAGAAGGCAAAAUUUAGUUAAUCUUUUGUUAGAUAUGAACGCAUAUUUCAGAGGCAUGCAGUGUUUAGGAUACUAUUUUGUGUUUCAUUUUUAUGUGUUUUUAAAAUUAACAUUUUUCUGUUAAAAAUUUAGAUCUUUUACUGAUUUGUGAUCGUUGUCAGUUUGCCACCUGUUUCCCACUGAUUAAUUGCAUUUUU